GAACGCUAGCUACAGGCUUAACACAUGCAAGUCGAAGGGAAACGAUAUUGGAAGCUUGCUUCUGAUAGGCGUCGACCGGCGCGACGGGUGAGUAACGCGUAUCCAACCUGCCCAUCACUUGGGGAUAACCUUGUGAAAGUAAGACUAAUACCCAAUGACGUCUCUAGAAGACAUCUGAAAGAGAUUAAAGAUUUAUCGGUGAUGGAUGGGGAUGCGUCUGAUUAGCUUGUUGGCGGGGUAACGGCCCACCAAGGCGACGAUCAGUAGGGGUUCUGAGAGGAAGGUCCCCCACAUUGGAACUGAGACACGGUCCAAACUCCUACGGGAGGCAGCAGUGAGGAAUAUUGGUCAAUGGACGAGAGUCUGAACCAGCCAAGUAGCGUGCAGGAUGACGGCCCUAUGGGUUGUAAACUGCUUUUAUAAGGGAAUAAAGUGGGAGUCGUGACUCUUUUUGCAUGUACCUUAUGAAUAAGGACCGGCUAAUUCCGUG
rnacentral:rRNA from 1 species